rnacentral:rRNA from 1 species
GUGAGUAAUGUCUGGGGAUCUGCCCGAUAGAGGGGGAUAACCACUGGAAACGGUGGCUAAUACCGCAUAACGUCGCAAGACCAAAGAGGGGGACCUUCGGGCCUCUCACUAUCGGAUGAACCCCCAUGGGAUUAGCUAGUAGGCGGGGUAAUGGCCCCCCUAGGCGACAAUCCCUAGCUGGUCUGAGAGGAUGACCAGCCACACUGGAACUGAGACACGGUCCAGACUCCUACGGGAGGCAGCAGUGGGGAAUAUUGCACAAUGGGCGCAAGCCUGAUGCAGCCAUGCCGCGUGUAUGAAAAAAGCCUUCUGGUUGUAAAGUACUUUCUGCGGGGAGGAAGGCGACGGGGUUAAUAACCCUGUCGAUUGACGUUACCCGCAGAAAAAACACCGGCUAACUCCGUGCCAGCAGCCGCGGUAAUACGGAGGGUGCAAGCGUUAAUCGGAAUUACUGGGCGUAAAGCGCACGCACGCGGUCUGUUAAGUCACAUGUGAAAUCCCCGGGCUUAACCUGGGAACUGCAUUUGAAACUGGCAGGCUUGAGUCUUGUAGAG